AUCAUGCAGAUAGCUCAGAAGAAGAAGUAAGUUUUUUUUUUAAUUACAAAAGUAAAUAUAUAAUAUAAUAUUUGUUGCUGCCUUGUUCUAUAUAAAUGUUUCUAACAUGCAGGUAACAUUUAUAUAUGUAUUAGUUUGAAUAAAUCAUUUUAAUAAAGUUACAUUAUAGGCAGGAAUGUUUGACUGGAAAUAUAAACGAUGUUGUACAUAAUGCAGAUAGCUUAGGCAAAAAAGAGAUUGGUGAAAUGGAGAAUGAGACUAACUAGGGUGAAAAAAAAAUGAAUAUUAAUAUGUGAAUGGUACUUUGUUUAACAUCUACCUGUUUCUACAGAUACAGUACAGACGCAUUUAUAAAUGGGCUUGAUGUUUUUUUGAAUUAAAUAUGUUGUAUUGA
rnacentral:lncRNA from 1 species